ACUCCUACGGGAGGCAGCAGUGGGGAAUAUUGGACAAUGGGCGAAAGCCUGAUCCAGCCAUGCCGCGUGUGUGAAGAAGGCCUUCGGGUUGUAAAGCACUUUCAGUGAGGAAGAAAGCCUUGAGGUUAAUACCCUCGAGGGAGGACAUCACUCACAGAAGAAGCACCGGCUAACUCCGUGCCAGCAGCCGCGGUAAUACGGAGGGUGCGAGCGUUAAUCGGAAUUACUGGGCGUAAAGCGCGCGUAGGCGGCUUGAUAAGCCGGUUGUGAAAGCCCGGCUGCA
rnacentral:rRNA from 1 species